AAAUUUUCUUUUACAACACAUACCAUAAAAAAAUGUUGCCAAACUUCUUCUGUAGCAUCCACUUCGUUGGUAUUUGGAUCUCAUGUAACACCCGUAUGCCCUAAAAGGUCAAAGAACAAGCGAUAUACCUUAUGCAAACGAUUCCACUUACCCUUCAAUCUUUCUAUCCCGUAAUCUGAUUUUGUGGCAACAAUCAUCUCUUGAUUGAUCUUGUCCCAAUUGUCUUUUGUGAACGUAGAACAUUGCAACUUCCCUGGUUUCACAUUAUCGUAAAGUAUUCCAAUAAAAACGUGUUUGUUUUGAUCGGAUCAUGACAUUGUUUCCAUAUUCUUACCUCUAUGACCACCCAUGCUCUCUAAUGAAGAUGAAUAAAUAUUAAUCACUUAACCAAAAUAUAACCACAAAUUCCAUAUAGAAAAUCAAAUAAGUUGACAUCACAAGGAAAGAAAACUGAUUCAAAAUUGUCCCUUUCCCCAAUCUCUGCAAUCGUUUACUUCAAAACCAAACACGAUAAGUGACUAUCCUAGGUAUGAUGGUAUUCUCAUUUUUUUCUUCCCAGAAGUCCAGGAUCCGUUCAAAAUGCUCAAAACUCAUUAAUUGUUGCAACAAGUCAAUUAUCCACUGUGUAAAAUGACAAAAAAAUAAAUUUCGUACACUGAUGUAGAUAUAUAUAUGACCUCCGUCAUUGAUUGCCAAAUAUAACGUAUUAAAAUUCAUCAGCUCAUAUACUUUUAUUUCUUUUCCAGUAAAAUGAAAUUGGAGCACUUUUCGUUUUACUUUAGCCAUUUUUUUAUAAGAACUAGUAAGAAGGUCUCAUUGCCCCCCGGGACAUAUCGUAG
rnacentral:lncRNA from 1 species